CUGUUCUUUUAGGGGAAAGGGGAACUGUACUGAUUUAACUCCUCUUUGUUGUUCAAAGCACUGCAGUGUCUUCUGAGAGACAAGUUUAUAGUCUCGUUUGAAAAGCAGACUUCAUUGCACAAGUCACUGCUUAGACAUGUGUUGGCAGUGCUACUCCUGGUAUGUACUUUUAAGUUGCAGCACAUGAAAAUGAGGCAGUAAGUGGCCCUGACAGAGCUUCUGAGAGCACUAACUCCAAUGUCAGCAACCUUGCAAUAGCUAAAUCAGGUAGGGCUAAAUGGUGUGGGACCAUAGGCCCCUCUCAUACCACGAGGUUGUUACAGUCAAGUCCUUUUCUACCUCUUCUAGUGUUCUGGUUACAAUAUGGUGCCACAAAGCAAAGUUUCUAGGGCUAGCACCCUGCAAAAGUGCCCCAUCCCACAUUACUAUGCUGUGCAGGUGAUACCAUACCCUCCUUUGGCCAUGCCAGCAGCUGCCUUUAGAACUCUGAAAAGCCACAAGGAAUAUCUCUGUGUGUGCAUCCCUAUGUUUAAAGCCAGCUCGAUUCCCCUUGCUGUGGUGCAAACAGGUGGAGACUGGCAGGGAUGGCUUAAACUGGAAUCUUAUGGUCCUUCAAAGCAAUAGAUGUACCUUCUCCCCUCAUCUCAUCCUUGUAGCCGUCUUGCUCGCUACAAAAGCAAUGAGAGGCUUGGCCAGGCGCUGCUUCUUGCCCUGACACUGUAAAAUCUUGCCCCGACAGAAUGUGGAAGGGCUGCCAUGCAUGCGAAGGCCAAGGAACAAAUAGCAGGGGACCUCUGCUUUUGACUGGAGAUGGGCAAGGCCAGGCAGGCUGUUUUGGAGGCUUUUUGAAGGAGGGAGAACAUGUCCUGAGCCUGGGAGGACUGAGAGUCACAGAGGGAAGUUUGCUGGGGAAAGAGCAGGGAACUGUGGAUGAGCUGGGGUAAGAGCCUUGCAUGCACCUGGUGAAACCUCCCCACUUACAUUCUGUUACUGGAAAGCAUUUUAAAUAAAACCCAGAAGUCGAAGCUGGAGGGACAGAGUUCAGAUUCUGUGUCAGGUCCACAUCCAGAAGGGUUAACUGCAGCCUCUUCAGGCACUGCAUGUUCUGCAGUCUCCAUGAGAGCAAACAGAUCACCCUCUCACAGGAAAGAGGUGGUAAUCAGCCCAAGUCACUGAUGAGCUUUUUGGGGGCCAGCUGGAGAUCCUGGAGCAGUCUGCAGAACGGGAUAAGCAUCAUUAGCUUUGUUUCACCUACAGGAGAACUGAGGCUCUGAGCAGCAAACCCUCUUGCUUAUGGUAAUGCAGUAAGGACAGCACAUUGUUCUGGUUUAAACUAUUAAGAUAAAUGCAGCUUGAAGUAGGAGUAGGACAUACAGGGACAUACAGUUGUCAGUGGCAUAGGAGAGAAGAAGAGAGGAGAUGACUGAUGUCAGCAGCCCAACUAUUUUUUGUAGCUCUAGAAAACAUAGCAUCAAAUAGACUGACAGGUUGAGGCUAUGAGCUUUGGAUCCUCUGUGC